AUAAUCAGGCUGCAUCACAUCUGCUGUCUGUCUCUCAUGCUGCUUAGGCCUGCAUACUGAGCUAUGGGUCUCUGGAGCCCUGGGAGAGGAGGAUAAAGAAGACUUGAACUUAAAGAGCUGCUGGUGGUGCACAGUCGUCUAGUCAUUAUCCCUGUGAAUAUUUGGAUCUAUUUGUUUUGGGACCAAACAGGAUUAAGGUGGAAAUUGAUUUGACUCUUCUGAGAGUUUUGAAAAAUGGAGCCCACCUUGCCAACGGAGCUGAGGAAUGACAGAAAAAUGAGAAACAGCAGAGAGGUGGACGGUCCUGUUAGCGUGCCUUCUGAGGCUACCAGGUGUAAAGUGGACCUUGAACAUAUGCUCGGCAUUGCGGGCAUUGUGGGUGCUGUUCUCAACCUGCUGGUCGUGGUGUUUGUGUACAUCUACACACCUGUCUGACAUGCCUUCACCCAGUUCAUAUGGGUCUAUUUAUUGUGAAACUGUUGGAUGGGAUGGGCAGGUGUAUGAAUGGGACAUCACCUAAUCGAUGGAUGGAUGGAUGGACUGAAGGACAACCAAAGGAAAAAGACAGGAUGCUUGAACUCAGGAAUGUGUUUUAGUACUAAGAAAAGGCCUAUCAUAUCAAUAGCAUUCUUUAAUAUUGUUAGUGUUGAGUAUAUGAAAGACAUUUGUGUUUGUAACUGUGAUUAGAUAACUUCAAAGUCCUUUUCUCUGACGGAAGAUGUUUGACCAACACUGGGUAAAUCAUAUUUUUUCACUACACAUUUUUGUGAAUUAUGUUUUCGAUACAUACGUGGUUUGAUUUAUGUAUUUUUCUGUUUGUUCAAUGUUAUUGUUUUUAAAAUAAAUUUAUAACUUAUACAUCUGAAGCAAAGA